GUGUGAAGCUAUUUGGAACCUAAACCAGCCUUCCUAAACACGUUGAACAAAUUCCUCAAAGUCAGUUUCAGGGGACGCAUACAAUUGCACGUUCUGUUCAUCCCAUUUCCACCUGAUGCUUGUUUUCCCAGGGGGAAUGCUACCGUGACGGAGGUGGGCGUUGAAACAAAUUUAUAGGGGCUGAAGGGGUAAGAAACCUUCAGCUCUGGGGCAGGUGAGAACUCUGCAGGAAAGCCAUGGCUACAAAACUACUGACUGCAAUGCUGCUGUUUGCCCACAUCUGUGAAGGAGAACUGAUAAGAAAAUCGACUGCCCAUAAUUUCCUGCACAAAAUUCGACAAAGACGCGGAUUUGAGUGUUCCCCUGGAGGCUGCAGCGCAGAAGUCAGCGAGGCGGGAGAGCUGGCAGAAGUGGAAGAGGGAAAUGAGAGUCUGAGCUUAAUGCAGAACGGAGCUGCUGCCAACAAAGAUACAAUCACUGUAAGUUACAGCAGUUUCUAUUUUUCAAAACUUUUGAAUUACCAAGUAACAUUUGUGUUUAAUAUAAAACUGAAACCUCUACAUUGACUUUUCCCCCCCAGAAACCAACUGAGGAAGCUGAGGUUUUUGAAGGAUCUGGAUUGGAGCCAAAACGGAAACCAUUUCUUUUUUGAAACGCAAAUAGACAAAUGUCAGCCUUAUGAAGCUAUAUCGCUGCUUUCAAUUACAGUCGGUAAAUCAAAGUAGAUUUUUCAACAAGUAAAAAUACAAAUUUUCCUUUUUUUUUUUUUUUGGUGACGCUAUUAAAAUGAAAUAGGAGUAUAAUUUUGUAGACAAUCAAUUGAAAUUAACAAGUAAAAUCUUAUUUUAAAGCAUGAAUAUUAAGAAAUUUGAUAGCAAAAAUUAGUGUGUGCGAUGAAAACUGCAUAUAUCUGCGUUUAGUCUGUAAUUAAGACAUCUUUUUUCAGACAAAUUAAAAAUAGCGCUUAGUCUAAAAUUUAACUGAAAAUAGAAAACUAUAGUCAGAGGUAAAUUAAGAAAGAUGAUUCAUGUAUAAAACAAUCCAUUGUUAAGUGUGUUCCUGACACUGGGACCUUCUUUUUUUCAAGCUUGUGGUGUAUUUUCUUAAUGUCUGUUUUUGCAAUUCACAAAUGAUUCAUUCAGUUUCUGCUACCUACUUCUUAUAUUACAUUUUUCUUUGAACAUUUUAUUUAAAAAAUGCAUUAAAACAAAUUUGCUUUGUGAACAACAGGCCACCAGAGGAAUUUGUGUUUUGUCACAUGCUGAUCAUGAGUUUGUCAUUGCUUUCCCCACACAUUACACUCUACAAUAAAACACAGGAAGACAGAAAUUUGAAUUUUAAUCUGAUUAUUGAUGGGGCUUUGGUCUCAAAUAGGGAUAUUGCACAAGUAGAGUUUUUGAAAUUGAUCUGACGGGUACAAUACUUUAAAAUUCCAUCUAAAACUGUGCCUUUGUUAAACUAAACUUAGUUUUAUUAGUGUUAUUAUUAAAUCAAAUCAACCAUAAGUCAUAACAUUACAUAUGACGAAUGGUUAAUCUGGUAAUUAUGUUAUUGUAUGUUUACAAUAAAGUCCCUGAAAAUAUGUUAAAGUCUUAUUUCAUGUUUAUGUUGUGGAUCUUUUUUUCUUUCAUUUUUUAUAUAGUUGAUGUCAUUGCACACGCAUUUGAAACUAGAAUUUGGUCAAUCUCAAACGGUAAUCCUGAACAUACACAGACGACGUUCCCCGCCCCCCUUUUACCAUUUGGUGUUUCCCGUUUCCGACGACCCUGAAGGCAGCAUUUCAAACGACAGGACUAGCUGUUACGGCGUAGAAAUAAGUAUCAAGAAACAGCGGCGGUGUUGCU
ensembl:lncRNA